UCCAAGAUAUCAGGAGUAUUUUUCCCACACCCCCUGCCUUGGUGAAUUUUCAAAAUAUCAGGAGUAUUUUUCCCACACCCCUCUGCCUUGGUGAAUUUCCAAGAUAUCAGGAGUAUUUUUCUCACACCCCCUGCCUUGGUGAAUUUUCAAAAUAUCAAGAGUCUUUUUCCCACACCCCCUGCCUUGGUGAAUUUUCAAAAAAGUCGACUUCUACUAGAAGUCGAGUUCUUAUGUUGAUUUUUCAGGAAGUUGAUCUCUUGUGCUGAUUUCCGAAAAAGUUGAGCUCUUGUGUCGACCUCUGAAAAAGUCGAGCUCUUGUGUAGAC
rnacentral:lncRNA from 1 species